UACAGCAGCCGCUUGCGGUCUGUAUACAGGUGCUGCGAUGGCUGUCGUCAGCUCGUGCUGUGAAGUGUUGGGUUAAGUCCCGGCAACGAGCCGCAACCCUAUCAUCUGUUGCCAGCAUUUAAGGUGGGGACUCAGAUGAGACUGCCGGUGACAAACCGGAGGAAGGUGGGGACGACGUCAAGUCAUCAUGGCCCUUAUGUCCUGGGCUACACACGUGCUACAAUGGCCGGUACAGAGUGAAGCGAAACCGCGAGGUGAAGCAAAACGCAGAAAGCCGGUCUCAGUACGGAUUGGAGUCUGAAACUCGACUUCAUGAAGUUGGAAUCGCUAGUAAUCGCGCAUCAGCAUGGCGCGGUGAAUACGUUCCCGGGCCUU
rnacentral:rRNA from 1 species